UGCCCUUGAGGUAAGCUAAAACAUAUCAAACAUUAAUUUCAAAGUGAACUAUCCCUUUAACUUGUGUAAUAUUGCUCAUGUAUACACUCUACUACUUAAAAAAUACAUAAAAAACGAAUUACACAUUAUGCAAAAAUAUUCUGAAUUAUAAAUUUUUUUAAUACAAUUGUGUGGGAAAAAUGUCAACGCAGCAUUUUGGUCAAAUAAGUUAAAAAUAGAUGUGGAAAAGAUGAAUAAUGGAAAAAUGGCUACUAAAUACCAACAAUGAAAGGAAAGUAAAGCUGUGUGCAUGGCACAGUGUGCUGUUUUUGAUUAUUGUUGGAGAGUGUUUUAUGGAUUUUACACUAUAUGGUCUGGUUUCUGUAUAAAUAGUGAAAGUGGUAUACAUAACGAAAAAGCCAUCUUUUACAAAAACAGUUUUCACCGUCAAUUCGGAAAUGCAUAUCAACAGUAUAUAUCAGGAAUAUAGCACUGUUUAGCAAAGAGCCUAGAAAAACUUGAAAGAAAAGUGGUAAAUGAGCAAAACUGCUAAUUGACACGUAACUUUGUCCUACAUUAAGACAUCAGGUGUAAAUCUCCUCACCAAAGGUUUUAUUCAAGAAGGGUUUAUAUGGAAAACAAAAGGCUAGUGGAGAAGAACACCUCCCUCCCCUGUGCCAGCGUAAUGGUAGAUCGAGAACACGAGUGUUUCGAUUUAAGUGUGCAAAAUAAAAGCAGCGUGGAGCAACGUUGCCGUCUGGGCCUGUGAUGAAUUGCAGCAUCCGGAACCCAACUUUGAAACAGGCUAGAGGAUUGUCUUCAUCAGACAAGGCAAGACAGGACGUCCAUCACAGGACGACCAUCCAACAGAGACUCAAUAACGGCACAAGCGGUGAAAUGAAGGAAUGCUGGAGGGGGGAGUUAGAAAACCUUUGUUUUAGGCAAAGAAAAGACAUUUCGGGCCUGUGUGAAUACGGUUUAAGACAUAGCACCUUCAAACUUGAUGAAAUAUAAAAGGAAAACAUACAUUAGGUUUUAUUGCAUGCAACGCUGGCUUGUUUUUCAAAUCCGGUCUUUUGCAUCAGCAUGAUGCAAUGAAACACUAUUAUAUAACUAUUCAUGUGGAAAGGGUUUGUAGAAAAUUUUGCCUCCACUCCAGUCCAUUAUGAUAUCUCACCCCGAGAUUUCAUAAUGAUGCACAAUAAAGCAUAAGCAAUGAAGCAUUACUGUGUUUUUACUCAUAUAUUAAUGUACAAGCUGUGUACGAAAUCAUUAAAUCGCUAUUCAUUAUAUAUAUAAUAUAAUAAAUGUAUACUCUUAAAAAUAAAUGUUCCAAAAGGAGGAUUUUCGCAGUGACUCCAUAGAAGAGACUUUUUUUUCUUAGUGUGAAGAACAUUUUAAUAAUCUGAAGAACCACUAUAAAGAAGCCAAGAUUAAACGUUCUUCAUGGAACCAUAGAUGCCAAUAAAGAACCUUUACUUUUGUGUAGCAAACACCAUAUUUUAUAAAUGAGUGAAUUUGAACACUGCACAUUAUGUAUGACAUCACAUCCUGAAUGAUGAAAAACUACUUAAAAAUGGAUCUGAACCAGAACAACAGACAAACAACACAAACUGAGCGAAUUUUUUUGUCAAAAGACAAAAAAAUCCUUUGAACACUUGGUCCACCGCUCAAUAUCAAAAUUGAGGUAGUUAUGAAUUGCUUGGUGUAACAAGAAUAAUAUUACAGAACAUGAAAACUGAAAACAAAGAGAUCAGUCAGAUCAAAAAA